rnacentral:rRNA from 1 species
GACGAACGCUGGCGGCGUGCCUAAUACAUGCAAGUCGAACGCAGUGGGGACGGGUGAGUAACACGUGGGUAACCUCCCAUCAGAGGGGAUAACACUUGGAAACAGGUGCUAAACCGAUACUGAUGGAUGGACCCGCGGUGCAUUAGCUAGUUGGUGAGGUAACGGCUCACCAAGGCCACGAUGCAUAGCCGCCCGGGGGGGGUUGUCGGCCACACUGGGACUGAGACCCGGCCCAGACGCCAACGGGAGGCAGCAGUAGGGAAUCUUCGGCAAUGGACGAAAGUCGGACCGAGCAACGCCGCGUGAGUGAAGAAGGUUUUCGGAUCGUAAAACUCUGUUGUUAGAGAAGCGGUAUCUAACCAGAAAGCCACGGCUAACUACGUGCCAGCCGCCGCGGUAAUUC